rnacentral:misc_RNA from 1 species
AAAGUCCGGAAGGAUCAUUAUUGAAUCUAGCAAGCCUAGCAUUUAUUUGCAAGGUUAGCGCAUAUUUAAAAUCCCACACUUUUGAAUAUAUUAUAUAUAUUUUACUAUAAGUAAUUAAAAGGUCACUUUCAACAGCGGAUCUCUUGACUCUC